rnacentral:sRNA from 1 species
GCCUGGCGCAGUAGUGGGCGCCUGUAAUCCCAGCUACUUGGGAGGCUGAGGCAGGAGAAUUGCUUGAACCUGGGAGGCAGAGGUUGCAGUGAGCCGAGAUCACACCACUGUACUCUAGCCUGGGUGACAGAGUGAGACUCCAUCUCAAAAAAAAAAAAAAAAAAAAAAAAAAAGAAGAUGGAGUCUCCUCUGUUGCCCAGGCUGGAGUGCAAUGGUAUGAUCUUGGCUCACUGUAACCUCUGCCUUCCAGAUUAAAGCGAUUCUCCUCCCUCA